rnacentral:rRNA from 1 species
CGGGUGAGUAAUGUAUGGGGAUCUGCCUGAUGGCGGGGGAUAACUACUGGAAACGGUAGCUAAUACCGCAUAACGUCGCAAGACCAAAGAGGGGACCUUCGGGCCUCUUGCCAUCGGAUGUGCCCAGAUGGGAUUAGCUAGUAGGUGGGGUAAUGGCUCACCUAGGCGACGAUCCCUAGCUGGUCUGAGAGGAUGACCAGCCACACUGGAACUGAGACACGGUCCAG